rnacentral:rRNA from 1 species
GGACUACCAGGGUUUCUAAUCCUGUUUGCUCCCCACGCUUUCGCGCCUCAGCGUCAAUACCGGUCCAGUUGGCCGCCUUCGCCACCGGUGUUCUUCCCAAUCUCUACGAAUUUCACCUCUACACUGGGAAUUCCACCAACCUCUCCCGGAUUCGAGCAUGCCAGUAUCAAGCGCAAUUCCCGGGUUGAGCCCAGGGCUUUCACGCCUGACUUAGCGCACCGCCUACGCGCCCUUUACGCCCAGUAAUUCCGAACAACGCUUGCCCCCUUCGUAUUACCGCGGCGGCUGGCAC